UGAGUAGGUUAUUGCCNNGGGUUUUAUUUUUAUACUUUAAACCCUGAUUUUAUUUUUAUGUUUUUUAAAUAUUAGUGUUUUUGAAUAUGUUGUUUAAAUAACAUAAAAAAUAAAAUAUAUAUUGACANGGAUUAAGCAAAGAUAUAUAUUAAUUUAUGUUGUAUAAAUAAAUNNGGCAAAAUAGAGANGGAAGAUAAAAAUAA
rnacentral:misc_RNA from 1 species